CAUAAGAUAGUGUGUUUGUAGAUUGUAAAUAUAAAAUAAUGUGAUUAAUAAAUGAUAAGAAAAUAACAAAACUCUUCUAUCAUUCAUUCCAAAUUUCCAAAAUAUAAAUGUAUUAUUGCGUCUAUUAUACAGAGAUGGGGUCAUCCUAAAAAACAAAAGGGAUACAUCAUACAUCUAUCCAAAUGUUCAACUAAAGUCCGUGAUAACUUAAAAGCUCUAUAUGGAUUAUUAUUUCUUUUCCGUUUGUGAUCAUUUACACCAGAGAUUAAACUGAUCACAAAAUCACUACCACCAAAUUGGGAUUUUGAGGUUAAUUAUUACAUAACUACACCAAUAAACCCAACUAAAACUAAUACGGUUUGAUUAUUAUUAUAAAAUAAAAAAACCACAAACAAAUGAAAGAUUUCUAUAUAUACUCACAAACGUAAAUAAUUCGCGAGAAAAAAAACUAUAUAUGUAAUAUAUCCAUAUAUAGGUUUUGAUGAAAACCCUAAAACUAUAGAUGGUUUAUUCUUCGUGAUCGGUGUUUCAGUGCCGAAACAAAACAUUCAUAGUUUAAAAUUCAGAGAGAACCAAUGCUUCCUAAAGCGUUAACAUUGUAAAAUCCAGACGAGAAAAAACCAGAAAGACCUGCCGACAUCUGAGGAGCAUUAAACACUUCCUCAUCCAACGGUGAAUAAUACUCUCCACGGACCUCUCCAUCCAACGGCUCUAAGUUCAUCUCCGACUCACACGGACGGUGGAGAUCUACGGCGGUAAAAGUGGUGGGCGACGGUGGUAGAUCAGCGGCGUCUUGACCGGUGAGUUCUUGAACAAGCUCUCUGAACUUAGAAGGACAAGUCUCGACUCUCAUCGGAUUUGAUAUGUAACGGACUUUGAUGGGUUUGUGCGUAGUCGUUGACUUCCUCUUCUGCUUAGGUGGGAUCCUAGUCGGAGACGAUGAUGACUUUCUCUGGUUUAUGAGCAACGUUGAUGAUGACUGAUCCAUCUUCUUUAGUUCUUUUGUAAUAUGGAGAAAAAUUUAGAUGUGUGAGCUCUCUCUUGUUUUAGUCCAAUUUUUAAAUAUAUAUACAAUGAACACUUUUUUUUAUGUAUCGUUUUUACUUUUAGGAAGGAGAGUGGAAG